GUGCUAGUCACCCUCAAAUUAUCAGUCAUAACUGGCAGCUUCAAAGACUUAGACAAGCUACCUCUGCGUUCUGCAAGUGAAGGUGAAGAUUUCUUAGAUGUUGAGGAGGUUACUUGGGAACAUUGAUUUGACAUGCUAUAGACAGCACGAUGUCCAGGAGUGUCAGAUGGUAGCCGAGAAGAAGCCUUGGAUGAGAGAAGAGACAAG
rnacentral:misc_RNA from 1 species